rnacentral:rRNA from 1 species
CUCAUCAGGGCAAGAAGAUUUUAGGAUUGACAGAUUGAGAGUUCUUUCUUGAUUGGUCUAGUGGUGGUGCAUGGCCGUUCUUAGUUGGUGGAGUGAUUUGUCUGGUUAAUUCCGUUAACGAACGAGACCUUAACCUGCUAACUAGUGUUCCGAUCUCAAAUCGGAAGCACUUCUUAGAGGGACUAUGUGAUGUAAUCACAUGGAAGUUUGAGGCAAUAACAGGUCUGUGAUGCCCUUAGAUGUCCUGAGCUGCACGCGUACUACAAUGGCACUUUCAACGAGUUUUUCCUGAUCCGAAAGGAUUUGGGUAAUCUUUUUAGUGAGUGCCGUGAUUGGGAUAGAUCUUUGUAAUUGUGGAUCUUGAACUAGGAAUUCCUAGUAAGCGCGAUUCAUCAAAUCGUGCUGAUUACGUCCCUGCAAAAUGUACACACCGCCCGUCGCUUUUACCGAUUGAGUGUUCAGGUGAGUCUUCUUGAUAGUUGCAAAAUUAGAAAUUAAACAAACCUUAGCACUUAGAGGAGAAAGAAGUCGUAACAAGGUUUCCGUAGGUGAACCUGCGGAAGGAUCA